rnacentral:other from 1 species
AAGCCUCUACCAAAUCCAACUCGAACGUUUUGCCGAACCCUACAGCUACUCAAUUAGGGAACCCUGGCAGUUCCAGCCGCGUGUAUAUCCGACUUUAGUCUCGGCUCACACAACCUGGGCGGAGGGUGCCCACCUGAACCUACGGGUUCAGGCAAUUCGGCUCGGUUGGCCUUUUGGUGGAGGUUUU